rnacentral:rRNA from 1 species
GAUGAACGCUGGCGGCGUGCCUAAUACAUGCAAGUCGAGCGAACAGACGAGGAGCUUGCUCCUCUGACGUUAGCGGCGGACGGGUGAGUAACACGUGGAUAACCUACCUCUUUUUCUUGUAUAACUUCGUGAAACCGGUUCUUAUACCGGCUAAUAUUUUUUACCGCUUGGUUCAUUAGUUCUUUACGGUUUUCCUGUCUCUUUUAGAUGGUUCCGCGCUGCAUUAUCUAGUUGGUAAGGUAACGCCUUACCAAGGCUACGAUGCGUAGCCGACCUGAGAGGGUGAUCGGCCAAACUGGAACUGAGACACGGUCCAGACGCCUACGGGAGGCAGCAGUAGGGAAUAUUGGGCAAUGGGCGAAAGCAUGACGGAGAAACGCCGAGUGAGUGAAGAAGGUCUUCGGAUCGUAAAACUCUGUUAUUAGGGAAGAAAAAAAGUGUAAGUAAAUAUGCACGUAGUGACGGUACCUAAAAAGAAAGCAACGGCUAACUACGUG